GAACAGGACGUCACAGAGGGGUGAGAAUCCCGUGCGAUGAGAUGCCCAAUUCCAUGUAAAGUGCUUUCGAAGAGUCGAGUUGUUUGGGAAUGCAGCUCUAAGUGGGUGGUAAAUUCCAUCUAAAGCUAAAUAUUGGCGAGAGACCGAUAGCGAACAAGUACAGUGAUGGAAAGAUGAAAAGAACUUUGAAAAGAGAGUGAAAAAGUACGUGAAAUUGUUGAAAGGGAAGGGCUUGAGAUCAGACUUGGUAUUUUGCGUUCCCUUCCUUUUUGGUUGGGUUCCUCGCAGUUUACUGGGCCAGCAUCGGUUUGGAUGGUAGGAUAAUGACAUUGGAAUGUAGCUUUACUUCGGUGAAGUGUUAUAGACUUUGUUGAUACUGCCUAUCUAGACCGAGGACUGCGUCUUGACU
rnacentral:rRNA from 1 species